UACGGAGGGUGCAAGCGUUGUUCGGAAUCACUGGGCGUAAAGCGCGUGUAGGCGGCCUCCUAAGUCUGAUGUGAAAGCCCGGGGCUCACCCCCGGAAGUGCAUUGGAUACUGGGAGGCUGGAGUACCGGAGAGGAGGGUGGAAUUCCUGGUGUAGCGGUGAAAUGCGCAGAUAUCAGGAAGAACACCCGUGGCGAAGGCGGCUCUCUGGGACGGUACUGACGCUGAGACGCGAAAGCGUGGGGAGCGAACAGG
rnacentral:rRNA from 1 species